GGUGAACGCUGGCGGCAGGCCUAACACAUGCAAGUCGAGCGCCCCGCAAGGGGAGCGGCAGACGGGAGAGUAACACGUGGGAACAUGCCCUUCAGUACGGAACAACCAAGGGAAACUUUGGCUAAUACCGUAUACGCCCGUAAGGGGAAAGAUUUAUCGCUGAAGGAUUGGCCCGCGUCUGAUUAGCUAGUUGGUGGGGUAAUGGCCCACCAAGGCGACGAUCAGUAGCUGGUCUGGGAGGAUGAUCAGCCUCACUGGGACUGAGACACGGCCCAGACUCCUACGGGAGGCAGCAGUGGGGAAUAUUGGACAAUGGGCGCAAGCCUGAUCCAGCCAUGCCGCGUGAGUGAUGAAGGCCUUAGGGUUGUAAAGCUCUUUCGUCAGGGAAGAUAAUGACGGUACCUGAAGAAGAAGCCCCGGCUAACUUCGUGCCAGCAGCCGCCGUAA
rnacentral:rRNA from 1 species